CAGCCGCCGCGGUAAUACGGAGGGCGCGAGCGUUGUCCGGAUUCACUGGGCGUAAAGCGUCCGUAGCCGGGUUGGGAAGUCCUCCGGGAAAUCUGGCCGCUUAACGGUCAGAAUGCCGGAGGAUACUCCCAGCCUAGGGAGCGGGAGAGGCCGAGGGUAUUCCCGGAGUAGGGGUGAAAUCCUAUAAUCCCGGGAGGACCACCUGUGGCGAAGGCGCUCGGCUGGAACGCGUCCGACGGUGAGGGACGAAGGCCAGGGGAGCAAACCGGAUUAGAUACCCGGGUAGUCCUGGCGGUAAACGAUGCGGACUUUGUGUCGGACAAGCUAUGAGCUUGUCCGGUGCCGGAGGGAAACCGUUAAGUCCGCCGCCUGGGGAGUACGGCCGCAAGGCUGAAACUUAAAGGAAUUGGCGGG
rnacentral:rRNA from 1 species